UACAUAGGUUACAAGCAUUAUCCGGAUUUACUGGGCGUAAAGCGAGCGCAGAUGGAUUUAUAAGUCUGGUGUUAAAUGCUAUUGCCUAACAAUAGUAUGCAUUGGAAACUAUAAUUCUAGAGUGUGAUAGGAAGUUUUAGAACUCCAUGUGGAGCGGUGGAAUGCGUAGAUAUAUGGAAGAAUACCGGUGGUGAAAACGAAAACUUAGGUCAUUAACUGACAUUUAGGCUCGAAAGUGUGGGGAGCAAAU
rnacentral:rRNA from 1 species